CCCAAUGUCACGGUCCACUGAACAUAGAAAAUGAUAGUGCGAAUAGAAAAAAAAUGUUCUUGUUUCAUAUAAACUGAAAAUCUAAACAAGGUUUGGUCUCGAAAUGUACUUGGAUAAACAUGGUACAAUAAAUUAUCAUCUAAAAGGAAAAGAUUAUAGGUGAGAGAUUUUUAUCCACAUAUUUAUAAUGUAUUUUAAAAUAAUUAACACUUAACUACCCUGAUGUAUAGUGUGACACCAAUAAUUUACCCAGUGUCAGUCUUGUAGUGCUGAAUACGUCAAAUGUGUUAGUUAUUUCAUUGUUAUCCAUGUUUUAAUCUGAAUUCCUUCAUUUAUAUUUUAGAUAUAUUUAUAUAUGUGUUUCUUAUUAUAUAUUUUAUGUUUUUGCUGACAGAAAAGAGAAUUAAAUAUUCAUAAUUAUUCUAAGAAAACAACAUUAUCAAUUUUAAAUUGUCAAUGUUAAAAGAAUUGUUGGUAAUUGAAAACUUGAAGACUAGCUGAUAUACUUUAUAAGAAUUUUCAGUAUAUGUUAAAUUUAUCUUGACUCUUUAAAGUCUUAUUCAUUUCUGCUACAUAAACUUUAUACCACUUUUUGCACAUAUUUGCCUUCCAAACAAAAAAAAUCACAUUUAAAAAAAAAAAAAUAACUUACAUUCUCAUUAUGGCCUAAUUAAGAACAGAAUAUUGUAUUUUCAUAGAACAAAUUGUUACAUCACCAUAGUAUAAAUUAAAGUGCUAGUUAGUUGGCUUUAUUGAUGCUUACAAAAGAACUAUAUAAUUAUACAUCCAUUAGAUGGAACGUUGAAUUUAAACCACGAAAGUUACCCGCUGAGGGUUUUUAAACUGUUUGAAUCCACAAAAACAUAAGACAAGAGGUGUAAAUAGGAGUUACUUCCCCUUUAUUUAUCUCUGCCAUCGUUUAGUUUGCUUGUGUAAAAUCGCAAAGAAGUCAUACACUAUAAAGGUUCAUUUCACUUUUGAAAUUCUGUGACCUACCAAUGAAAAAAAGUGAUUUUUACCUCAUUAACAAGUUGUGUUUUGUCCCAUUUUGAUAAAUUUUAUUUAAACUAUGUAAUUCAAUGUGCAAUAUGUUAUUUACCAAAAAAAGUGUGCUCAUUUUUACAACAACUGAUCAAGAGGUUCAGAAACAAAAUGAAGGCAAAAAUUGUAAUCACUGAUAUUGAACAAUUGUGUACAAAUAUGUUUUAAAAAAUUAAACAGGAAACAUCCUAAAAGUGCUUUUAUAUUCUUUUAUAUCUAUAGCAAUUUAAAGUGUCUACAUUGUAUUUAAUGUUUAAAUAGAACACCUUUUAACUAAUUCAGAUGCAAAUAAUUAAAUACAUGUACAGAUAUAUAUUAAUUAUAUUGUUAAAUAUUUGCAAACCAAUAGUAAUACACAAAAAAAACAUGUGUUGGUUACUUGAAUAAAUCAGUUAUUGACAGUAUUGUUAAUGAGUAUAUAAAGUAUUUGUUUAUGUAUGUUAUAGAUAUUUUUAACUAUUUGUAUAGUAUGCAAUAUUUUGUUAUUUU
rnacentral:lncRNA from 1 species